UUUCGCUUUUGGCGAUCUGCUGGCGCAGAUGAAAAACGCCAAGUUGGACGACGAAGACAUGGAACAGAUCCGGCAGAUGAGUGAGGAGUUGAAAGACAGCAACGGCCAGUUCAACCUGCAGAACGCCCUGGGGAAAAUGGCAGGGGAAGAAGGUCUGCCAGAAGGUCUCGAUCUGCAGGGCA
rnacentral:ribozyme from 1 species